CUUGGUCAUUUAGAGGAAGUAAAAGUCGUAACAAGGUUUCCGUAGGUGAACCUGCGGAAGGAUCAUUAAAGAACGCCCCGUUUUUUGAAAUGGGUAAUUCCCAAACCGUGUCUAUAUAUACCUUUGUUGCUUUGGCAGGUCGCCUUCUAGGCGUCGGCUCCGGCUGACUGCGCCUGCCAGAGGACCCAGACUCGUUUUGUUUAGUGUCGUCUGAGUACUAUAUAAUAGUUAAAACUUUCAACAACGGAUCUCUUGGUUCUGGCAUCGAUGAAGAACGCAGCGAAAUGCGAUAAGUAAUGUGAAUUGCAGAAUUCAGUGAAUCAUCGAAUCUUUGAACGCACAUUGCGCCCCUUGGUAUUCCGAGGGGCAUGCCUGUUCGAGCGUCAUUAUAACCACUCAAGCCUCGGCUUGGUAUUGGGGUUCGCGGUUCCGCGGCCCUUAAAAUCAGUGGCGGUGCCGUCUGGCUCUAAGCGUAGUAAUUCUCUCGCUAUAGGGUCCAGGUGGUUACUUGUCAGAAUCCCCCACUUUUAUAGGUUGACCUCGGAUCAGGUAGGGAUACCCGCUGAACUUAAGCAUAUCAAUAAGCGGAGGA
rnacentral:rRNA from 1 species